rnacentral:rRNA from 1 species
GGCUACAGGCUUAACACAUGCAAGUCGAGGGGAAACGACGGGGAAGCUUGCUUCCUUGGGCGUCGACCGGCGCACGGGUGAGUAACGCGUAUCCAACCUGCCUCUGACUGAGGGAUAACCCGUCGAAAGUCGGCCUAAUACCUCAUGGCAUCGUCUGCGGGCAUCCAACGACGAUUAAAGAUUUCAUCGGUCAGGGAUGGGGAUGCGUCUGAUUAGCUUGUUGGCGGGGUAACGGCCCACCAAGACGACGAUCAGUAGGGGUUCUGAGAGGAANGUCCCCCACAUUGGAACUGAGACACGGCCCAGACUCCUACGGGAGGCAGCAG